rnacentral:rRNA from 1 species
UGGGGAAUAUUGCACAAUGGGCGAAAGCCUGAUGCAGCAACGCCGCGUGAGUGAUGAAGGUCUUCGGAUUGUAAAGCUCUGUCUUUUGGGACGAUAAUGACGGUACCAAAGGAGGAAGCCACGGCUAACUACGUGCCAGCAGCCGCGGUAAUACGUAGGUGGCGAGCGUUGUCCGGAUUUACUGGGCGUAAAGGGUGCGUAGGCGGAUGUUUAAGUGAGAUGUGAAAUACCCGGGCUUAACUUGGGUGCUGCAUUUCAAACUGGAUAUCUAGAGUGCAGGAGAGGAGAAUGGAAUUCCUAGUGUAGCGGUGAAAUGCGUAGAGAUUAGGAAGAACACCAGUGGCGAAGGCGAUUCUCUGGACUGUAACUGACGCUGAGGCACGAAAGCGUGGGUAGCAAACAGGAUUAGAUACCCUGGUAGUCCACGCCGUAAACGAUGAGUACUAGGUGUAGGAGGUAUCGACCCCUUCUGUGCCGCAGUAAACACAUUAAGUACUCCGCCUGGGAAGUACGAUCGCAAGAUUAAAACUCUAAAGUGAA